rnacentral:rRNA from 1 species
UACGUAGGGCGCAAGCGUUGUCCGGAAUUAUUGGGCGUAAAGAGCUCGUAGGCGGCUUGUCACGUCGGAUGUGAAAGCCCGAGGCUUAACCUCGGGUCUGCAUUCGAUACGGGCUAGCUAGAGUGUGGUAGGGGAGAUCGGAAUUCCUGGUGUAGCGGUGAAAUGCGCAGAUAUCAGGAGGAACACCGGUGGCGAAGGCGGAUCUCUGGGCCUGUACUGACGCUGAGGAACGAAAGCGUGGGGAGCGAACAGG